rnacentral:lncRNA from 1 species
CGUCUCUGUACCAAGAUGAUGUGGGCUGCGUUGGGGGUGCCAAUAGUAGAAUUUUCAAGAACAUUAUGUCUUGUUGAAUCUGUUUGCAGAUAGCGAGAUAGCAGCUAUGCCUCCCUAAUGCCAAAAAAAUUCUACGGUUGACUUUACUGAAAAGGUAAUUUAAACUUGAAAUUUGAAAAGAGCAAAGACCGGAGAAGUAUAACUAAAAAGAGGUGAGAUUUACAAUUACCAGGACCAGGUGGAUGAGAUAGAUCAGAAGACGUUGGGAGAUGUGCGGCAACCUUUUAUUCCUUUCUAUAAAUUCCCACAUAAACGAUGCUUGCCAAUAAUGAAACUCCAGCUAGUGCAACUGCUGAUGUUACAGCUAUUAUUUUAUCUGUUGAACCUGUAAGACACUAAUAUCAAAAUAGUUUAUACACUUAGUCGGUACAGUACUUCCCAUCAAUAAAUUGAAUUGAGAGCAAGAAGGGAUAAUGGAGAUAUCAACACAAAAGAAAGAGAAGGAAAAAUUAAUCCACACUUGUGGCAAGCUAGGGAAAAUAUGGAUGACCAAACAUGUUAAUAAUAUGCAAGUACGUGUUAAGAUAUGAUGCUCAAUGUAUAAUUACUUCAGAUAUGAAAACAGGUAGACUAUCUACAUCCAUUUUUUGUAUGUGUAUAUAUAUAUAUAUAUAAACACUUGAGCUACUGAUCCAUAUAGCAAAACAAAUUGAGAAGAAGCAAAGACCACCCCAAAUAAUGUAUAGAAAGAGAGAACCAACAACAAUAUUGACUUAGUUUCUCUCUGAACCUCUAAUGCAAGAUAUUCCAUGAGUUGUUGCGUGUUGCAGUCAAUCCAUGAAACAAUAAUAGCAUAUUCUUUACAUACGAUUACACCUCCCAUUUCCGAACUCUGCUAACAAUCAGAUCAUAUAUAUAAAAUACUUGAGCUACUAAUCCGUAUAACAGAACAAACUGAGAAGAAGCAUAGAUCACCCAAAAUAAUGUAAAAAAAAGGUAACAACCAACAAUGUUGACAUACUUUCUAUUUGAACCUCCAAUGAGAGAUCUUUCAUGAUUUGUUGCAUGUCAUAGCCAAUCCAUGAAAUAAUAAUAUCAUAUUUGUUACAUGAAGGUACAACUUCCUUUUUCGAACGCAGCUAACAAUAAUACCAUAGAUAAAAAUACUUGAGCUACUAAUCUGUAUAAUAGAACAAAUUGAGAAGAAGCGAAGAUCACCCAAAAUAAUGUAUGAAAAGAGAGAAUCAUUAACAAUAUUGACUUACUUUCUCUUGGAACCUCCAUUGCAAGAUCUUCCAUGAUUUGUUUAUCUGCAUAAAAUAAGUAUUCAUGGAUAAAAUUGGAUUUACAAAUAGAAGAUCCAUGACAAUAGCCACCACAUUGUGCCAAGAAAGAAGUACAAUGACAAUCGAUAAAUUAUAUGUAUUCAACAAUAUCCACAAAUGAAUCGAGCCUAAACUCAAUAUAAACAAUCGUACAAUCUCUACAAUGUCAUCUCGUGUCAUAUCAAUUUCACCUCUAAUGACAACUGAACUUUAUUGGUUUAAUAAUAUUACUUAGUGAGCUUAAUAAUAAUACAGUAAUUGAAAUUGGAGGGAAAAUGUGUGAAUAGAAGCCACCUAACAGUUUUAGAUUAAAGAACAGUUAAAACUGAAAAAGAUAUGCUUAACAAACCAUAGAAAAUAGAAGAGAAAAAACUUUAUAGCUGUAAAACCACAAAAAGAGUAAGCAUAUUCCAACAAUGUCGGUGGAAAUCGUGUAAUACCAACAGUUUAUUUGUGCAUUUUUUCUGUUUCCGAAAAUCACCAUAGAAUAAUUGAAACAACAGCUGCAUUUCUCUAUUUUCAGAAAUACUCAUGCAUGAAGCAAUAGCGCCUAAUUGAAUUAACAAAUGUCAGAGUAUUCAUAGAAGUGUAAUAAGCUUAUUGUAAAAUCUUUACCUGGAUUGUCGAGCAACAUUCCAUGUUCCUUCAUCUGACAGGGCAAUGUAGGACCUUUUCACAUUCGAUGAUACGUUCUUAAUUAUUUGGAGGUGUGUUGAUGUCUUCUCAAAUUUCUACUUCCACAUAUAAAGUGCAA